UACGUAGGUGGCAAGCGUUGUCCGGAUUUAUUGGGCGUAAAGAGCGUGUAGGCGGCCAGACAGGUCAGCUGUGAAAACUCGAGGCUCAACCUCGAGACGUCGGUUGAAACCGUCUGGCUUGAGUCCGGAAGAGGAGAGUGGAAUUCCCGGUGUAGCGGUGAAAUGCGCAGAUAUCGGGAAGAACACCCGUGGCGAAGGCGGCUCUCUGGGACGGUACUGACGCUGAGACGCGAAAGCGUGGGGAGCGAACAGG
rnacentral:rRNA from 1 species